UAAGAGACAGCAGUAGCCGCGGGAAUACAGUGGAUGCAAGCGUUAUCCGGAAUGAUUGGGCGUAAAGCGCGCGCAGGCGGCCUAUCCAGUCUGUCUUAAAAGUUCGGGGCUCAACCCCGUGAUGGGAUGGAAACUAGUAGGCUAGAGUAUCGGAGAGGAAAGCGGAAUUCCUAGUGUAGCGGUGAAAUGCGUAGAUAUUAGGAAGAACACCAGUGGCGAAGGCGGCUUUCUGGACGAAAACUGACGCUGAGGCGCGAAAGCCAGGGGAGCGAACGGGAUUAGAUACCCGAGUAGUCCCUGUCUCUUAUACA
rnacentral:rRNA from 1 species